CUCAGGAAACUGAGAGGAGCUGUCAAGAGGACUUAGGAAAAUACCGUGGAGCUGGCAUCGGCCACAGCAUGGGGUGACGGGAAGGGGACAGACCUGGCUGUUCCACUGACUCAUUCUGUCUCCUCUCCCAGGUCACCUCCUGACAGGCCAGGAACUUCCCAUGGGUCUGUCACACGAUAGCAAACUCCUCCUGUGUGUGGAGUGCUGUGCUGUUUCGAGGCACGCCGCACACCCUGCUUUGAGAAGUUUGAGGUCAGCAGCUCACCCAGCAAGCCCCUUGCCAGCACCUUCCACUGACCCUCGCAGGGGAAGCAGAUGCAUCUUGAAGAGAUUUUCACAAGGGAUGGAGCAUCUGGUCUCAUGCUACCUGGACAGGAAUACAGGAUCUGGACAUGAAAAGAAAACACUGGACCAGUCACGCAUCCUGAGAUUAGUCGAGACACAUGGGACCUUUCACCUCCUGCUCGCGUGGGUGGCUGACUGUGGCCAGAGGUGUCCAUGAGCAUUUGGCACUUGGCAGCUGCUGCUGGACCACGGCGAAAUCAGAUCCAAGACCCAGAGCAGUUCGGGGAACAGGUGCCCACACAGCACAUGGUGUGAGGAGUCUCUGGCUAGAGGAAGGCGGCUGCCUGUCUGGCUUCCUUGAUGUGCCCGCCAGAAAAGGAGAGCCUUGCGUGUCCAGUGAGUGGCCCGAGCUGAGCAAAGCUGCCGUGGACACGGUGCCCUCUGAGUUUCCUGUUUCCUCCUCUGCACUGUUUGAGAAUCGAGAUUACUCAAGCUUCAUAAAAUGAUUCCAAGGAAUAUUCCAUUUGUUUCUAUGCUCUAGAAGAGGUCUUAUGUCAUGGAAGUCAUGUAUUUCUUUUAGCAAUACCUUUAUAGUGAGAAAGUUGAAUUGUGAUCUAUGUUAAGAAUAGUAAGUAUAGUAGCAACAUGAAGAACAGUUUGGAACAGGGAGAUACUUGCUACUGGCUGGGUUCUGCAAAAGCUAAAUCUGAGGCAGAAUUUUUUUCUUUAACAUUUCUUUUAGUGAAGGUGUGCUGGUGAUAACAUCUGUUUUUAUUUGUUUAGCUUUAAUAUAAAAUCUAUAAAACUCUAAAUUGACAAGUUUUUUUUUCUCUUUGAUCGCUUUAAAGAUGUAUUAUAAUUCAGUUUUCUUGUGGCUUGCAUAGUUUUUGACAAAUGUCUGUCCUUCUGUUUGGAAUGUGCCUUUUUUCCUCUGGCUGCUUUGAAGAUUUGCUUUUUAUCACUAGUUUUGAGUAAUUUUAUUAGGUUGUGCCUUGGUGUGGUUUUCUUGAUGUUUAUUCAGAUUAGAGUUUAUUGGGCUAAAUGGAUCUGUGAAUUAUAGUUUCCAUCAAAUUUAAAGUACUUUGGGCAUUUCUUCAAAUAUUAUUUCUUGCCCUCUUCUCUCUUCUUUCUUUUUAUAACUUCAGUUACACAUAUGUUAGGCAGCUUGAUGCUGUCUAACGAGUAAUUCAGAAUCUAGUUGUUACAACGUUCACUCAGUUCACUCAUUUUUCUCUCUAUGACUUAUUUUGGAUAGUUUCUCUUGCCAUGCUUUUAUGUACACUGAUCUUUUGCAGUGUCUAAUAUUUUCUUAACCCAAUUCAGUAAAAGUUUAUAUUUUAGAGAUAUUUAUCUCUGGGAAUUUUAUUUAGUUCUUUUUUAUAUUUUUUUCUUUCUCUUAUUAUAUUUAUGUUCUUCCUUCAACCAUUGACCAUAAUAAGAAUAUUUACCAAGGCUGUUUUAAAGUCCCUUUCUGCUAACUUUACUGCCUGAAUCCUAUCUAGUUCUGCUUUUAUUGAUUGAGAUUUCUCCUUGUAUCUGUUGUAUCUUCCUGUUUCUUAAUGUGUCUAGUGAUUUUCAGUUAGAUAUCUCGUACUUUUGACUUUUUAGUGCUAGAUUUUUUUAAAAGAGUGUUAAGCUUUGUUCUGGCAGGUACUUAAGUUAUUUGUGGGCUAAUUUGAUAUUUUUGAGGCAUAUUUUUAAUCUUUUGUGGGUUUUCUUUUAGGAUCAGCUUAGUACCACUGCUAUGGCAUGGUCCUUCCUUGGUCUCUACUGAACACCCUGUGUAUUCCGCAGGUUUUCUCUCCUCUUACUGCUGGAAGUCAAAAGUGUUCCUGCUCUGUCUGAGUAACCCCGGGGAUUAUUUGGCCUAGAGCUGUUACACCUUUUCUACACCUGGAAGCUCUUUGUCAUCUAACAUCAUGAAGAUCCACUCUGUGCAUGUGCAGACUACCAUUUAUCCAGUUACUCGAGGGGGCGCCUGGGGAGAUUUCUCAAGCUCUUCCUUUGCACAGCUCACUGCUGCCCGGCGCUCUGCCCUGCAAGGCCUUCCGUCGUCCAGACUCUGACUUCUGUCUCCUCACCUCAGGGAUGCUGCCUCGCUCUCCCUGCACGUCCGUCUGCAGUUUGCUUCCCAGAAGCAAGAUGAGGAGCUCUUGGACUCGCCUUGUUUGUUUCCUUUCUUUGAAGGAUGAUAGUCUUGAACGUCAUAUUUUCCAGUCUCUGCAAAUGGUUGUUUCACAUAGUUUGUCCAGUUUAAAAUAGAACAAGUCUCAACUUUUUGACUCCCUUUAGCCAGAUGCAGUAUUUGAUUUUUAAUAUAUAAUUAAAAUCAUUUACACAAUUUUGUACCUGGUUUUUAAAACUUACAUAAUCUUUUAUAUUGAUUACAUGCUACUUCGGCUGCCUGAUCAGCAUCUUUCUUUCUCUCUCUCUUAUCAAGUUAUGAUUUGACUGACUGGUGUUUUAAUGUAACUUCAUGUGUUUGUCUAUAGGACAUAAAGAUUGUUUCCAUCUUUUGCAGACUUAUGAUAAACACUUGGGGCUUGGCUGUCCUCCUGAUGUCUUUGUCGCCACCUUAUCUAACAGCUCACUCUGUCUUUUCCUGAUGUAGAUUCUGCAACAAUGGAGCCUACCUGAGACGCUCCCUAAGAAAAGAGCUCAUGAUAGAGCAAGUUUGGGAAAUACCACAUGCUACAUCCUCUUAGGAGUCUUAAUGCACCCUAACUUGUUAACUUUUAAGUAAUUUUGCAUAAAGAAACCAUAAUUAUGUUUUUGUUGUUACCUUAAUAUUUUGGAACGUUGUAUAUAACUUUUAUUAUUAUUUUGUCAAACAACACCCGAAGCAGGCAAUUUUCAGUGUCAAACAGUAGGGCCAGAAGCACGUGCUCUUCCAUCAAGGCCUGGGGCCCCGCCACUGCUGCCCACCCAUCAGGUACUCCAGCCCCAAAAGGGCUGGAAGUGAGAGUGCAGGGGAGAGAGCGGCCAUUCCAGGGGCAGGGCCCAGGGCUGGUAGGUGCCUGAGCGAAGGGUCCUGGGAGGAGGUUCAGCAGCCAUAUCCCACGGAGGCUCCAGGGCCCCCAAGAAGUAGGCUUGCUAGGAAACACAAUGCCAUGGGACUUCUCCGAGUCUUUGUUUCCCACAGAUCCUAGGAAAGGUUGUGGUGGGAUCGGGGAGUGUGAAGCUUGAGGCCCAGAGUCUCAGCCUGAUACACUGGACUAUGGGGGACAACCCCAAAGGAUGCAGACUCUGGUCUCCCAAGUCCCCUCUGUGGCAGCCUCAGUUCUCUGGACACCUCUAUGUCCCCAUCCUGAGGGAUAGGCUGGCUGAAGGGAAGUGUGGUGAGAGGCCAGAUGCAGGGCGGUUUGUGGUGCCCGAUUCCAGGCAGCAGGUCCUAUAGGAGAGCAGAGCCCAGGCCCACCCAGUGCUGGCAGCUGGCACGGAGGCAGGUGGCAUGUUCCCUCCAUGCCACACAGUUCUGCUGCUGGACGGGCCCAGAGAGGACGGCCGUGUGAGAGUCUGGUGGUUCUGAUACCCCAGCGUGGAGACACCUUCCACUCACAGCCUGUCUCCAUACAGUGUCUGGCCCCUGUCACACGGCUGGAGGGCCGGGGUAAAGACGGGUUCACCCCAAAGACAGAGUUGCCUCCUGGGGCUUUGUAUCCACCCAAAGAGAAGAUGUGAGUCUGGUCAGUGGGAAUUGUAGGCCUGUGGGACCCCUAGCACAGCUGUCCCAAGCCAACUGGGACAUGUGGUCACCCUCCACAUUCGGACCACAGGAGGCUGCUCUUGUCCCAUGUGGGGGUGUCCGGAGGACAGAGAGACUCAGGCAGGGAGGUGAACGAGGCUGUUCCGAUGACCCUGAAGAGAUCUGGCGAGGCCAGAGCUAAGUCAGUGCAGACGUGAAGAAAGCAAAUGAUUUGAGAAUUUUCGAGAAAAACUCAGUACCACAUCCAUCCUACAACCCAUUCUGUUCCUCUAGACAUCCUGUGUCUGGGCCUGAGUGGACUAUUUGCGGCUCGUCAAAGCACUAUGUUUUCCUGUCUUUCCACUGUAGCCACUGCCAUUCCCGGUGCUGGGAAUGCUGUCUUCCUAUUGUCACCUGUUGGAUGCUGCCUUUGACGAUCUCUUCCGUGGUGGCCUUUCUGAGGUUUAAAAUUCACUCAGCGCUUCUACUUCCUGCAUAAUGAUGUUUUCCAACUUAAUGAAUAAAAGCAAAUCAAUAAACAGAUGGUACCUGGCAGCGUGAACAACCCACCCCUUUGCAGUGGCCGUGCCUGAACGUGGCCGGGGGUUCCCGCCAGUGGGGAGUGGCGUCUUUAUGGUAUCCCCUUCACAGUCCCGUCUUUGCCUCUCUUACCGUCCUCACCGUUUGUGCUGUUUUAAAUCACUUGGGUGAAUAAGCCUAACGGUGAAAGGUGCUCAGCAAACGUAGCAAUAAGCAAACCAGCAUCCAGGCAGCAGUUCAGAAAUUGACAGUGACAUUUCUUAACUGGAGAGGACCAGCCCAUGACACAGCCUCUCCUCCGGAUCAGGUCACUGGGGAGGUCUGUGAACAAGACCCCCGUCUCCUUACCUGCUUCUCCCAUGCCCCGGAGGGUGGUGGCGUCCUGGAGGAAAGUCUAGGCCUGUUGGAGAAUACAGGUGGGCAGGUGAGGCAGGUGUGCCUGCUGGUUCAUGUUGUCCUCACUUGAUGCUCGUGUGCUUGGAGCUCUCUCAUCAUUUUGAUAGAUCUGUAGCGAUUUUGUAAGGCACAUGGUUGUAUUUUAUGCUACAGGGCUUCAUCGUUACUGGGCACCCAUUUUCCUGGCCAGAAAACAUUUUCCAAAGCAAUGAAUAAAACUAAAUGAGGCAGUGGAGUCUUUACCUUGUGAGCUGAACAGUCCACCUGUCUGUAACGACUGUGCCUGGAGGCAUCCAGAGGCCAUCGUGAGCAGAACGCCAGCAGGAGGGACCCUGCAGUGUCCCUGGCCCCAGCAUCUGGCUUGGGCUAUUCAGGCAGACAGGCAUUUUUACUAGCUUUUUUUUUCUAUGGAAUUUUUAAGUUGUUUGCCGGAAUUGGCUGCAUUAAUCAAACGGUUGUUUCUGCGAGACAUCGUUUAUGUUUGCUGGAACCGUGGAGGGCUCCGUGGGCACUGUUUGUGCUCUCUGAAAGUACACUCUGAGCCAGAAAGUGAAAUGCCAUUGGUUUGAUUUCAUCGCCAAGCCCUGAAGACAAAUUCUCACCCCCUCUGGAUUUAUAGUUGGUCUCGUGACGAAGUAGGAGGAGAGGAACUUGUGGAAAUGUCAGACAAGAGAGGACAAAAUUCUGGGUCUCUAAGGUCAAGAACGUGGAAGAAAAAAGUGACCUCCAAGCCUCGUCCAGGCCCCAGGCGCUUCCUUCCACCGAGAAGGGGAGGUUUAACUUCUGAGCACUCAGCACCCCUGCAGAGCUCAUGGAGCUCCACCCGGGCUCAGAACACGAGGACAUCGUGCAUAAGGGCUGGCAAUGUCCAACCAGGUGCCCAAGACACUGGUAGUUACUUGUUCGUAUUAUUCCCAAAUACCAAAUUUAACAAAAUUGUGUAGAUAAUUCAUUACAGCUUACUACUUGAGGUUGUGUUCAUUUUAUUUUCAGAUGGCAUUCAUUAUUUCUCCAGAGAAUAAAAGCAAUAUAAGAAUCCUGUAAAAAAAUUAGAAAAUAAAAAAGUAUAAAAAUGAAAAUAAAAUCAUCUAUAAGCAUACAAUUCAUAUAUAGCUUCUGGGAAUAUUUUGAUAUUUUUCUUUUGUAUUUUAUUAACCUUUCCCCAUGACCUUUAAUAUUCCAUGAGAAUGUAAUUUUUAUGGAUUCAUAAUACUUCAUAUUAUGGUCGUGCCGUAAACUUUUUGGCAUUCUUCUGCCAUUGGUUAUUUAAGUUCUUUUUACUUUUUUCACUGUUAUAAAUAAGAUUGCAUUAAACAUCCUUGCAC